UCGUCAACAGUGGUUUUGUGAAGGUUUCCUCGGAAUCUUUGUUUCAGGUCCGCUCUCGGGCCUUACUUCACGAGUCGAGCGUAGUUUCUCGCACUUUGCCUCGAUUCUCAUUUGCCUACUCUUGCUCCUUCCGUAGGUUCUGUCUCCUGGUUUCCAGUAUGUUUCGUGGAUGCUUUGUACUUCAUCAUCUCCAAAAUCUUCUUCCAAACCGUCAAAGAUGUUGCUCGUAGUACACCGGAUGUUGAACACAUUCCUCCUUCUUUUGCUCCUCCAGUUGUUGGCGCCUUAUUCUUUUCGGGCAUUUUUUGCCGGCCGCCCCGUGGUCCUUUUUGCAGUUUGUACAUUUCGGUUGGCUUGGGCAUUUGUUCGUCGCUUUCCUAUGCAGUUCUCCGCAGUUUUGGCAUCUAUUUUUGCUUCUGCAUUUUGUAGUUGAGUGUCCAUUGGAGACUACGAAGGUGAUGAUUUUGUUUGCGGUUUUCUGUGAGAAAGUGAAGGAGGGAAGAUUUUUUGCUUUUUUUUUUCACUCAUACUCCCAUAAGAAACCCCGUAGGAAGAAAGAGUGUUUCUCGGCUCAUCAACCUUCGUAGUCCCCAAUACUUCCAGCAUCCUUGGCAUUGCUUUGAAUGGACCACUGUAGAUGUAUUGAAAGCCCGCGGAAAUUUCUUUCCUUCUACCACAAUUUUAAGGUUUUCCGUAUUUAUCAAGUUCCUCUUCUCUUUAUCGUGAUCCCUUCCCGCAUAGAAAUUUACCGUACCUAAAACGGUUCGAAAAUUAACAUUAUUAUUAUUUUUGUUGUCACCUAUUUAUCAUACAUUCCGCGUAUGGUCUGGUUAUUAUGGUAGAACAAUAUUGCAGGGAUUAAGUAAUAUUGUUACAUCAUCAACUAUUGUCCAUUUACUGUUGGGAAUUAUCCCACUGUGAAGAGCAAGGUGAAGAGACUUUUCCAAACAUUAGAUGUACCAUAGAUGCUGAUGUCCAUCCACUUCGUCUGGUCCGUCUGGCAGCACAGCAAUCCGCGGUGAUCGGUAGCCAUGUUUGUUUUCAUUAGCUCCUCUGGAUUGUUCUGAUGUGCUGUUUUCUUUUAAUUUAAAGUUAUUUGCCAGUUCAAGGAUCAAAAAGAUGAACCAAAUCGAGAAUCAAAUCAAACGAAGAUGUGCGUUCUAAUUAUCAUAUGUGAAGGUGACCUGAAGGAAAAUUCGAAUCAAGAGAAUUCUGAUCAUACAGGGAUGCUCAGUGCUCACCCACCCGGCAGGAUUCGAUAUAAAAGCUACAGUUACGAUUGUUCCGGACUUCAACAUCAAAAUCAUCAUACUCAAUCGAUACCUUAAACGACACCUCGAGGUGAUUCCGAACCUUGUUCCGAGCCAAUGCAGUGUUUUUCAUGCUGAACUUUCAUAAUAAUUUUGUUGAUUAAAGAUGAUCUCUUAAUUAACUGGCAUUGAAAAAUAAAUCCUAAUUGAUUAUUA